CGANAGCUUCUGGGCGUGGGUAUGAUGGAGGGGGAUACUCGGAACGUGCUAACCGUCGACAAGAGGGGGACCUUGCUGUCAGAUGUGCCCAGAUGGGAUUAGUAUGGGGGGUAAUGGCUCACCUGCACAUCUAGCUGGUCUGAGAGGAUGACCAGCCACACUGGAACUGACACCAACUCCUACGGGAGGCACGUGGGGAAUAUUGCGGCGCGUGAGCGUGCGCGUGUAUGAAGAAGCCGGGUUGUAANGUUUUCGCGAGGAGAAGCAUUGUGGUAAUAACCACAGUGAUUGAUACUCGCAAAAACAUACUCGUGCCACAGCCGCGGUAUACGAGGGUGCGCUAAUCAUCUGGGGUAAAGCGCACGCAGCGGUCUGUCAGUCGAUGUAAAUCCCCGGGCUCUGUGUUCGUNGCNGCUAAUCUUGUAGAGGGGGGUAGAUUGUGUCGGAGAUGAGAUCUGAGAAUACCGGCGAAGGGCCUGGAACACUGACCUCAGUGCAAAGCGUGGCAAACGAUUAAUACCGGCACCCAACGAUGUCAUUGGUUGCUUGGGAGUGGUUCGUACGCUUACCUGGGGUACCGAAAUCAAAG
rnacentral:rRNA from 1 species